rnacentral:rRNA from 1 species
AGCAGCCAUCAUUUAAAGAAAGCGUAAUAGCUCACUGGUCGAGUCGGCCUGCGCGGAAGAUGUAACGGGGCUAAACCAUGCACCGAAGCUGCGGCAGCGACGCUGAUGCGUUGUUGGGUAGGGGAGCGUUCUGUAAGCCUGUGAAGGUGUGUCGUGAGGCAUGCUGGAGGUAUCAGAAGUGCGAAUGCUGACAUAAGUAACGAUAAAGCGGG